AUGUCAUAAUUGAGACUUCACUUGUGGACACAAUAUCUAAUCGUUUUAUAUAAUUUAGUUGUAUCUUUCUAAUAGUUCAAGCUUUUGAAAUUAAUAAUUAAUAUCAACGAUCCAACAAGAUACAUGCAACCCAUCCAAAGGCUCCUAGUCUCCCACUAGGCUUAUCAACUUUUUAAUUUUUAAAAUAACCGAACGUCUUUAGUGCAAGUGGCAAAAGGGCUUGGCGGUUGUACCCGAGAUCUAAGUUCGAAACCUAGUUGAUUCAUAUUUCUAGCUAAGUUUAUUUUUAAAUGAAAUAAACGAAGCGGGUAAAAUGCUAUCUUUCUCUCAAAAAAAAUUUUUUUUUUGGCUAAAUUACAUAAAACCUCCCUGUCAAAAUCCGAUUUUUCACUUUUCUCCCUGUCAUUUAAAAACCUACACUUUGUCCCCUUAUAAAAUAAAAAAUAUUCACUUCGCCCUCUGUCGUUAGUAAUCCGUUAGGAUUCUAUUUAUAAAAUAUUAUUAUAUAUAUUUUUAUGCCAAAAAUACCCUCGGCCUUCUCUUCUAUGAACAUAGUGAAGGGCAAAAUGGUGAGAGGCAAAAUGAUCAUUUAUCAUCACAGUUCACACCGUAUCCCCUUGUGAACAUUUUUUAUUUUACAAGAGGGCAAAGUGUAGAUUUUUAAAUGACAGGGGGGGAAAAGUGAAAAAUCGGAUUUUGACAAGAGAAUUUUAUGUAAUUUAGCAUUUUUUUUUAUAACACUAAAACCUGAAUAUUUCUAUGAACCUUA
rnacentral:lncRNA from 1 species